AAGGUGAGCGGCUCGUCCUGAAGUGCGGAUGUAGCCACCAUGGCGGCCAGUCAGAGGCGGGACCCGGCAUUUCCGGCGAGUUGAGAAAUGGCGGCGCACGUGGACACGGCAGCCCCGGAGACCCGUUCGUGGGGAUGGCCUCGCUCUGAGGGGACUGUCGGAGUCAGACGCCAAGAACUUUCUUCAUGUGACAUAUUUCUUCCUUUCAGAACUUUCUUCAUGUGGACACAUCAACAGGUCCAGUCUCCCUAUUGAGAAGCAAGUUGCUCACUUUCCUGCUUCCAAAGUGUGUUCACUGCCGGUGACCAGAGGAACGAAGCAGCGCGUCCCUCCCGGUUGCUGUGUUCACUGGGCAGACAAGGUGAGUGGAAGGAUUUAUCGGCACUGAACGUGGAGAAGGCAAAGCUGGAAAUCCACAAAAGAAGUUUGAGUGAUGAGGGAACAUGAGCAAACAGGUGCAUUCACCACUGACUGUGCAAAUGAAGACUAAAGCAGUGAGAAAUGACCAGGCCAUUUUCCAGCCUCCUUUCCGAAGAGACACCCUGGGACCCUCCCCAAGGGGCGUCUGGAGGAAAAUCCUCGCAAGACUCAACUCGCUGCUGUAAGUCUGCACACAAUGCCUGAGAAGGAAGCCAGCGCCAGGACUCCAGUGCCGUGGCUGCCAGCGCAGCGCUGCCAGCUGAGACUUCCCUGCAAAUUCCUGCUCUGCGGUCCCCCCCGAGUCCCGCCGGCUGUGAGUGCUCCCGAAGGUGAAGGAAGCCAGAAGCCAGCCUUGCCAUCCCGCUGGCUCCUGCUUGGCUGGGCCUCUGUCGUCCUGGUUGCCACGGGUCCUGGCGGGGUCAGCCUGGGAUUUCUCUUUUGACGCACGAGGGAUGAUUCGUGAUUGUUGGGGGUGGGGCAGGGACACAGGUCCCACUGGCGACUCCUUUCUGAAUGAAGGAAGCGCAUGAAAAGGAAAAGGAGAGACAGGGUGGGUACCCAGGGCUCCCUCACUACACGGAGUGUCACAUCGUCACACUUGGGAGGGGCUCGAUCAUCUGAGGAUUUGGUCCCGAGUAGGACUUUCAGACCCCGUGGAUUGAAGGCUGCAGUUCUCCAGGGUGGACAUCCAGGCUGUGUCUUCUGCAGCCGUCACGGGAACGCUGGCACCCUAAUCCCGGCCAGCUUUGUAAGAAGAAAGCUCCCUUGCAUUCCCUCACUUUCUGGUGGCACCUGGAGGCUUAUCCCUGGGUGGUUAUUUAAAGCCGCCCACUAAGUGUUUCUGGAACCCUCCUCUCUGCCCCCCGCCUGCCAGCCACAGAGCAGCAGCCAGGGGUGCCAUGUGCCAGGCCCUCUGCCCAGACUUCUGGCCCCGGGGCGUGCGAGCUCAGUGGCUGCCUGCCCACAGCACCGCUUCCCUCCCCAGCUGCAGCUCAUGAAUGAGACCUGUGGGCCGGGCCAGGGAGCUUCCUGCCCAGGCACGUGCAGGACCCUGUAUCCUGUGGCAUUUCUCUAGAAACUCAGGUGCACAUCCUGAAGCCUCACAUGCGCAUGUGAGCUCACAGCCACCUGCAUAUGUGUACACACCACACGUGUGCAUACACGCAUACAAACAGCUACAUGUUACACUUACAUGUGCACACAAAUAUGCAGACCACACAUGUGCACACAGCACACAUGAGUGCUGUGCCCACACUCCUGUCUCUGUCCAGUGAGUCAUCGGCUCUCCUGUGCUGCAGUUCCUGAGUGUCAGGUACAGAGUGACUCUGUACACAUAAGAAUCCCUUCCAUAAACGCACCAGAUAAUUUCUCCUGUUACUAACAAGUAAUCCUGAAUAUCAGCCGCUGAAAGUAAUGAACUGGAAGAUGCUUAUAAGCUGCAGGCUGGGCCCGUGGCAUGCGGCUACCUCCGUGCCAAUCGUUUUCAGGUUUUCCUGGGUGACAUUGGCAUGUAACGUAUGGGCCUUUCUCCGAAAGUCCAGCAUGAGUGUUCUCCUCAGAACAGCAGUGAGGAAGGGGGUCCUGCUGACAGCAGGUCACAUCCACACGCCGUCGUCCCGAGCAGCGCUGGAUUCCAGUCCACCGCUGAGUUCCGCCUGGGCUUGGCUCUAGCCCCAUUCCAGCUCCGAGCCUUAUUACUGGGGAGUCAGAGAUGGAAGCAAGAGAUUUCUCUCCCUCAAAAACCAGAGUCCAGGACCUGAAACUGACCUGUAAGCACGCGUUGCUGUCAUUAACACCAAUCACUGGGUUGAUUCGAGUGCUGGGCACCAUGCAAAGCACUUCAUAGAAUGUAAUUGGGGUUGACAGGUUUAGCAAAGGAAAAUACAGGAUUUCCAGUGGCAUGCGAAUUGUAGUAUAAGUAUGCCCCAUGCAACAUUUGGGACAUAUUUAUACUAAAAUCUACUCAUUGUGUACCUGGUAGGGAGUGUGUUUUUAACUGGGCUCAAUGGAUUUUUCUGGUAGCCAUCACAGUAGUCGUAUGAAGUAGGUUGUAGUAGGUUCUCCAAGUUACAGAUAAGAAAAGAGAUCCAUGUCAUUUCAUUUUUGCAUCAAGUGAAUAACCAUUUAGCCCAUGAGGUGGUUAUGAUGGAGCUACGUCAGCGUGGGCUGAGCCAAAAAAGCAGGUGGGGGCUUCUCUGAGCAGGAAUACACUUGCCAGGAGCUCUGGGAGCCUGUCUUCCCAGAACCGAGGAGGACUUUCUGCAGGGGAGUGCGGUGGGGGGCGAAGUCACACAGCUUGAGGGACAGACCAUGCCAGCUGUGGAACAUGGAAUCCGUAAGCUGAAUGGAGCCCAAGGAAGUACCAAACCCAGAGUUUUCCUGAGAGUGCACCAUGGCGCGAUCCUCAGUGGAGUCUACUGAAGAAGUGGGUCUCGUGGCCUCAUGGUCACGUCAGCUAAUCUUGGUGACCCCUAGCUAAAUCUGCAUAUUAACACGCAGCUAACCUUGUACUCAAUAGCUCUUGUGAACUGUUAACACGGUAUGCUGAAAACUUGAUCACUAGAGCUGUUAUAUUCCCUAUGUCAUCUCACGGGACGCUAGCAACUUGCGGAACACAUUUGGACAAUUCUGUCCCCAAACGAGAGCAAGUGAGAAGCAGUCACCUCCGAUGGCACAACGCCCCUCCCUUGUGGGCCUGUGCGUCAUUUACUAUGGCACAAAUCACCGGUCGCCUCACUUUGCACACCUGUUCGCUUUGCCUGCUAAGUCAUCAUCAGAUACUUAGAGCAUAGUUCAGUGCCUGAGGAAAGGAUGCUUUAGAUAAAUGUUUGAAUGGAAGAGUGGACGCCUACCCAUCUAUGACUCACAUGCCUGAAGUCACCCGUGAACACCAUGAACAUCAGGGCAGCCAGGUUCUUUCUCUGCGGCCCCGACGUUAGACAGAGCCUGUGCCACAUGGUCCUGACCCUGACCGUCCCUGCUGGGCUUCCUCCCCACCCCCUAUCCUGCUCCAGCCCCCGGAGUUGGGCUGCGUGAUCUGAGAACCGUCUCUCCCCGAGUGGCAGCGCUAGCCCUCUGGUGUUGGCGGACAGCUGCCGGCCCUCGUGCUGUGAUAACCCUGCACUGAGGCCAUCGUUGCCGUAACUGUGGGAAGGGCCACCAGGAAGGAAAUGCAAGGGGUCAGGCAAAAUCCGUCUCCUGACAGCCGUGCAGGCGGGACCCAAGCGUGUUCCCUUGACGCAUCUGACUUCAAACGGGAAAGGCUUUCGAGAGAACAGAGUGGGAAGACGGGACCAGACCAGGAGGGCCAGGCCAGGGGACAAGGCAGAGAGCGAUUGACCUUGGAGAGCUCUCUACCUUGAAUGCGGGUUCGUACCAGAGGCCGCGGAUCCUGACUGCCGUGUGUUCUCUUACAUGGUCGGGUGGCAGCCUGGACUCCAGGUCCCGAUGAGAAGGCGGGCCUGAGAGUCACUGCAGGACUCUGCUCACCAGCUUGCUCAGGCAGUGUGAGCCACCGUUCUUGGGGACAACCUGGCCCUUUCACAGGAGGCUGACAGAGGCCUUUACCCAGCUGGGGGGCCGGGUAACCGCAGCUUCCUCCUGCUCACCCGCCAGCAGGCCCGAGGUGUGUUCCUCCCCACACGAGCAGUCGGCUGGGUCUGAGGCCAGAGUGAUGCCCUCAGGAAAAGAAUUCUCCCGUCUCUGACUCCCGUCGGCUUUGCCCUGGCUAAGGUCUGGGCUUCCUCAGACAGCCCCAGCCAGGGGAGCUCCCUGCCCCCACACCGGCGUCCUGGCUCUGCCUUCAUGGCCAGCUGACCUCGUAGCAGCCAGUGGCACCCGGGGCAACCGGUGGCCACCCAGGCUCGCUGCCCACAGGAGGCCUGGUGAAGGCUGCCUCCUGGGCCCAAGUCGCACCCGGUGCUUCUUCCCUGGAGAAAGAACCAACAUUUUCAGCUUUUGAGAUGGAGCCCCCAUGUUUCACGCACAUGGGGGUUUUAGAAUCGUGGCUUGAGAGCAGACCCACUCUGAGGGCUGGAAGGACCACAGAAAUCUUCUGCAAAUGUGGAGACGUCCAGUGCACAGGGGAUCGGGGCGCCACCUGGAAAAGCCCACGUGCAGCUCAGCCCAGGCCUGAAUAGCAGAGCGGUUGGAGCGUGGGCAGGAGGGACACCUCUGGGCUCACACGCCAGCUCUCCGUUCAGACGGAGGUCAGAUCCAGCAAAUCACGGAAGCGUUCCGGGGUCGGGUCUGCUCUUUCAUGAAACCGGGAUGAUCCCAGUGGCAUGUUCUCGGGGCUGUUUUGAAAGUUACGUGGGGCGAGUCAGAUCAGAGGCCUAGAGCAGGGUCCGGUGCGCUGCAAGUGCUCGGCUAACGUUUGCUGUUUCCCGACAUUCUCUGGCCCUGGGCCUGCGUCCUGAAAGAGACUGUGGGUGGGUGACAGGCAUCGUCAUCUUUGCUCUACCUCGUAACCUUUUUUAAUCCAGACGCCCUUCGUGUCUGGCAGCAGAGAACGCUGGUGAGUGACGCUGUUGCGAAGCCUCCCCCUCCCCACCCCACGCUCAGACACAGCUCGGCGGGACUCCGUCUGCCCACAGCGCGGGAAGAGCAAGGACCCAGGGCCAGAUGGCAGGCUUCGUGUAAGCCCUUCACUCACCAGCUGUGUGACCUCCGGCAAGUGACACACUCUCUGUGCCGAGAUCCCCAUUUCGACAUGAACAUCAGAAUAAUAACUUCCUCGCCGAUUGUUAUGAGAUUGGACAAACUAAUGUAAGCAACGGCCUCAGAAUGUCCUUGGUCUGUGGCAAGCGCUUUGACAGGGUUUUAAGGAACCGAUGAGGAUCUGUGCUCACUGGGCCUGGGGGAGGGAGGCGGGGGACGGGGACUUUUAGGGCAGCAGGAAGUGCAUGAGCAUGUGGCUGAGCCGCACAGUGCGAGUGGCUGAGACAGCGGACUCAGGGCAUCGGGACUUGUCAAAACCCGCAGAAUGCACGGCACAAGGCGUGAACCCUACUGCAAAUUCUGGACGUUAGUUAAUAAUAAUGGCUCCGGACUGACUCAUCAGUUGUAACCAACGUACCACACCGACGCCAGAUGUUCCUACCGGAACCUCGCUGGGGCGGACGGGAGGGCGGUGGGAACGCUCUGUACCUUCUGCUCCAUUUCUCCGUAACCCUAAAACUGCUCUGAAAACAAAGCGAUUAAUUAAAAACAUUCAGUUACCCACAUAUUAUGCCGGUCCGUCUUCCCCCACAGAGCCUUCUAAAGGUAUGUGUGACUCACUCUCCAUCCUCUUCCUCUUUUGCGCCCCCACACUGGCCGGCGGUUGGUGGGUACUGGAUGGGUGAGGGAGCGGGGGGCUUCCAGCCUGGGCUGGGAAACCCUCUCCCAGACCCCUCCCUGCGCCGCGUCCCCAGGCAGCAGCCAGCCAGCCCCCACGGCACCUCUCUUCUGAUGGGGAGGAUAUCCCGGAUGCCAGCUCCAGGCCCUGGUGCCAAAGGGUCUGCCUGCUCACUCAGACCUGCUGCCUGAGUCAUCAGGCAUUUUGCACCGAACGCCACGUCAGGAAAACCGACCCAUGGCCCAGAAGCGGAAUGUGGAGUGAGGAAAACAGGGUUCACUCCUGUUGACUCUUUGGUGAUGACUUCCACUUAGGCAGGUCUUAAUGUCCUGCUGCACUCAUGUUUUCUCGUGUGAUUUCUCACCCACAAAAUUGCACAGCCUGUCAAUGAUAACGUUCUCUGGGUUACUUUGUCUUACAUCUUUCUAAGCUUUGCAUGAUAUGUACAAAUUACGAAUUAUAGCUUCUCCUUAAAACCCCAGGAAAGAGUGCCUGUGCUCUGAAUAGUGAAAACUAAGGGACAGGAGGAACCCCUCUGCACCUCCUAUGUCAGGGUGAGUUUUGAUGUCACUGUUGUCUGUUUUAUCCUUAAAAUCAUCUCCAGCAGGGGUGUGUGUUGGGGGCAGGAGGGU